rnacentral:rRNA from 1 species
GACAGAGGGUGCGAGCGUUAAUCGAAAUAACUGGGCGUAAAGAGUGCGUAGGCGGAAGCGUCAGUCGUAUGUGAAAGAUCGGGGCUCAACCUCGAAACGGCAUACGAUACUGCGUUUCUAGAGUAUGGCAGAGGUAAGUGGAAUUUCCGGUGUAGCGGUGAAAUGCAUAGAUAUCGGAAGGAACACCAGUGGCGAAGGCGGCUUACUGGGCCAUAACUGACGCUGAGGUACGAAAGCGUGGGGAGCAAACAGG